GACGAACGCUGGCGGCGUGCCUAACACAUGCAAGUCGAACGAGGUCCAAGGAAGCUUGCUUCCUGAAGACCUAGUGGCGAACGGGUGAGUAACACGUGAGAAACCUGCCUCGGAGUGGGGAAUAACUCGGGGAAACUCGAGCUAAUACCGCAUACCUUCACAUGAUCGCAUGGUCGAGUGAAGAAAGAAUUUCGCUCUGAGAGGGUCUCGCGGCCUAUCAGCUUGUUGGUGGGGUAACGGCCUACCAAGGCAACGACGGGUAGCUGGUUUGAGAGAACGAUCAGCCACACUGGGACUGAGACACGGCCCAGACUCCUACGGGAGGCAGCAGUGGGGAAUCUUGCGCAAUGGCGAAAGCCUGACGCAGCAACGCCGCGUGCGGGAUGACGGCCUUCGUGGUUGU
rnacentral:rRNA from 1 species